rnacentral:misc_RNA from 1 species
GAUGAAGAACGUAGCGAAAUGCGAUACGUAGUGUGAAUUGCAGAAUUCAGAGAAUCAUCGAAUCUUUGAACGCACAUUGCACCUCUCGGUAUUCCGGGAGGUAUGCCUGUUCGAGCGUCAUUUGUACCCUCAAGCUCUGCUUGGUGUUGGGUGUUUGUUCCGCCUCUGUGUGUGAACUCGCCUCAAAACAAUUGGCAGCCGGCGUACUUGUUUCGGAGCGCAGCACAUUUUGCGAUCCAGAUCAACGUACAGCGGCAUCCAAGAAGCCUUAUUUAACGCUCUUGACCUCGGAUCAGGUAGGGAUACCCGCUGAACUUAAGCAUAUCAAUAAGCGGAGGA